GACUAGGAACAAGUCCACAGGACACCAAGAGAAAAUAUAUACAUAACAUGUGGAAAGACAAAAGCCCCGGUGUAAAGAUUCUCUGGCUAUGGACCAUUGGAACCGCUGCUGUUCUUGUUACCAGUGCUGUGAGGAUGAGGUUGAAAGACAUGGAGAAACUCAUGAAUGCUGAAGAAGAAACCAUACGACCCAGAUCGACACUCACGGGCGAGUCUGCCGACUCUGUCAGAGUUAUCAAAGGAAAUGAUUCAUAGUGAAAAUGCUUGGGAAGCUAAAAAAGCGUACUUCUAGAACUCGUGAGAUGUAAGCUGGAGACCGCGCUCCUUCUUCUAUUUGAUGGGCCAUUUGGAAAGAGAGGGAUCUAAGAAUCUUUGAGAGAUUAGAAAAGCCAAAUAUUCACAUACUCAUGCUCUUAAUGGAUUGGAUAUGCGCCCAUGAAUUCAUGCUUUAAUAUAAUUGGAGUUUGAAGGCUCCAAGGAGAAAUAACAGUAAUGGGUAGGAUGAGGUAUCUCAUUCUCAACAUGUUCCUUGAAGGAUCCAAAGCCACUUACGAGAAGGACCUGAAGUAGCUCCAAGGAAGAAGGGUUCUGUAUAGGAACCAAUUUGCUUUAGAAUCUAGCUUGGAAUUGCAGGUGUAGAAUGGGUGUCCCAGUGAGGAAGAUGAUGAUGUGGCCAGAAAUCAGCCAUGUCAAAUGUUGGUCACUUAAUUCAUGUCACAAAGGUUUUCCAUUGCUUGAAGGAGGUGCUCUCUGGGGGCUGGUGUGUGAAUAUCUUGAGGAUCUGCAAAGGAAGGAGGCUGUUACUGAAGAUAAUGUAGGGGAUUUGGGUGUACAGGACGUCUCAUAGAGGGAAGGGAGGGUAGAUGAAGGGACAAAUAAAAAGGAAAAGGAAUUGGCAACAAAUCUUGUACAAGCGAUGGGAUUAAAGUUGAGAGAGGUAGAAAACAUUAAAACCUAUGCCAAAAAGAAAGGGAGAAAGAGACAAUUGAGCAAAGGAAGAGAAAAAUGACAGGGGUAGAGAAACUAAUGAAGGGACAAAUAAAAAGGAAAAGGAAUUGGCGACAAAUCUUGUGUAAGCGAUGGGAUUAAAGUUGAGAGAGGUAGAAAACAUUAAAACCUAUGCCAAAAAGAAAGGGAAAAAGAGACAAAUGAGCAAAGGAAGAGAAAAAUGACAGGGGUAGAGAAACUAAAAUCUGAUGUUGCGGCUGAUCUUGAAUUUAGUGCAAGGGGGCAGAGACGGAAGGGUCCAAAGUAAGGGAUUUUUUGAGUGGGGAUUAAGUUGAAUUUUGAUAUGAAGAUAUUGAGUUGAAAUGUCAGAGGCUUAGGCAGUGCUAGGAAAAGAAGGGUAAUAAAGGAUCUUCUCAGAAAAGAGUGUCUAGAUAUAGUAAUGCUGCAAGAAACAAAAUUGGAAAUCCUGGAUACAAGAUGGGUGAUAAGUGUGUGGUUCUCUAGAGGGAUAGGAUGAUCCUUUUGUGCCCUUGUGGGGGACCUCUGGGGAUUGUGACAAUGUGGAGGAAGGAGGUGGUGGAACCGGUGGAGUUAAUAGGUUGAUUCUCAGUCUCUCUGAAGUUCAAAGUUGUGGGAGAUGGGUUUACUUGGGUUCUAUCGAAUGUCUAUGGUUCCAACAGAUACAAAGAUAUAGGUUUAAUGUGGGAAAAGCUUUAUGACAUUAGAGGGUUGUGGGAUGAACCAUGGUGUUUAGGUGGUAACUUUAAUGUGGUUAGAUUCACAAACAAGACAAAUAACCCCGACCAAUUGGUCACGACAAGCAUGAGGAAAUUUAAUGAUUUUAUUGAUGAUUGUGAAUUGAUGGAACUUCCUCUUUAGCAGACCAUUUUCACCUCGUUUAACUUACAGAACCCCCCAAGUUACUCCAAACUGGAUAAAUUUAUUUUUAACUCUGAAUGGGAAGUGCAUUGGACAGGAUUGUUAGCUAGAGCUUUACCAAGAGUUACCUCGGAUCAUUAGCCGAUUAGCAUUGAGACUAAAGGUGAAAGAGUGGUGGAAUGAAGAGAUGGAAGGAAUCCAAGGGGGAGGAGGAUCUUUCCGCAGGAAAUUAAAAAGUUUAAAAAUCAAAAUCAAGGAGUGGAACAGAGAGCGUUUUGAGAGACUAGAGGAUAGGAAAUUAAAUGUGAUAUCCCAAAUUGAGAUUCUUGAUGACAAGGAAAGUCUGGGUGUAUUAUCAGAGGAAGACAGGAGUCUAAGAUGGUCACUGAAGGAGUUGGAAGAAAUUCUAUUUAGAGAAGAAAUAGUAGAAGGCGAAAGAAUUUUGUGGAGAAAUUGGAAGUGAAUGGAGUGUUGGUGUUUGACCAAGAGGAGAUUGCCACUUGUUUCGUAAAUCACUUUAAAGAGGUAUAUAAGAGUUAGGAGGGCACUAGUUUUAGCCUAGUAGGAUUAGAUUGGCCAAGCUUGAACCCUGAAAUGGCACACUGGUUGGAAAGGAAUUUUGAAUAGGAAGAAAUAAGGGGAGCAAUGUUCUCAAUGAAUCGAUUUAAAGCUCUAGGGUCAGAUGGUUUCAUUGUGGCUUUUUAUCAAGACUAUUAGGAUAUCAAGUCAGAUUUAUGGGUAAUGUUUGAGGAGUUUUCUGAAGAGCAUUCUAUUAGCCCAGGGGUUAACUCCACCUUCUUAGCCUUGAUACCUAAAAAGGGAGAUACUAUUCAGCUUAGAGAUUUCAGACCCAUCAGUUUGGUGACUAGUAUCUACAAUUUCCUUGAGGUUAAAAAUAGUUCUGCCCUCCUUAAUAAGUCAAUUGCAAGGGGCUUUCAUUCAAGGUAGACAAAUUAUUGAUCAAAUCAUUGGAGAAAGCGUACGAUCUAGUAGAUUGGUCAUUCUUGAUGGAAGUUUUGAGGGAUUUUGGGUUUGGAGAUAGGUGGUGUGGUUGGAAUAAAGGUUGUUUGACUAGUACUCAUUAUUCUGUGUUGGUUAAUGAAGUGGUUCGAGAUUUUUUUCCAGCAACUAGAGGACUAAGACAGGGGGAUCCACUCUCUCCCUUCCUCUUUACCUUGCUAGCAGAUGAUUUUGAGAGCGGACAGGCUGAAUCUGAUUAAAGGAUGGAAGGUUGGAAGAGAGGGUGUUAUUGUUAUACACCUACAAUUCGCAAACGACACUAUCCUUUUUUGUGAGACUGGGGACCCUCUGAUAGCAAGGAACUUGAAAGGGGUGAUAAAGUUGUCUGAGGUUGUGCCAAAGCUAAAGAUUAACUUCCAAAAGAGUUGUGUGGUGGGGAUAAAUUUAGAGGAGGAAUUGGGUGGGGUAGCUGAGGAGUUAGGUUGUGACAUCUAGUUGGCCUUUGAGAUACUUGGGGUUACCAUUAGGAGCCAAUCCUAGGGAGGGAAGUUUUUGGAAUCCCGUGGUGUAAAGAUGUGCUAAGAAACUGGUGGCUUGGAAAAGAAAUAAUGUGACUUUGGGGUCAAAUUACUUUAAUUCAAUCCAUCUUAGUUAAUCUCCCAAUUUACUUCCUUACAGUAUUUAGGAUGCCACAAAA